CCUACGGGCGACAGCAGUGGGGAAUAUUGCGCAAUGGGCGAAAGCCUGACGCAGCGACGCCGCGUGAGGGAUGAAGGUCUGCGGAUCGUAAACCUCUGUCAGCAGGGAAGAACGGUCACUGUGCUAAUCAGCAGUGAAUUGACGGUACCUGCAAAGGAAGCACCGGCUAACUCCGUGCCAGCAGCCGCGGUAAGACGGAGGGUGCGAGCGUUAAUCGGAAUUACUGGGCGGAAAGCGCUCGUAGGCGGUAUGUCAAGUCAAGGGUGAAAUCCCCGCGCUCAACGUGGGAACUGCCUUUGCAACUGGCAACCUGGAGUGUUUGCGAGGAUAGUGGACUUCCAGGUGUAGGCGU
rnacentral:rRNA from 1 species